rnacentral:rRNA from 1 species
UACAGAGGGUGCAAGCGUUGUUCGGAAUUAUUGGGCGUAAAGGGAGUGUAGGCGGCUUGUUAAGUCUUCUGUGAAAGCUACGGGCUUAGCCUGUAAAGUGCAGAGGAAACUGGCGAGCUUGAGUGUCGGAGAGGGUAGCGGAAUUCCCGGUGUAGAGGUGAAAUUCGUAGAGAUCGGGAGGAACACCAGUGGCGAAGGCGGCUACCUGGCUGACAACUGACGCUGAGGUGCGAAAGCGUGGGGAGCAAACAGG